rnacentral:rRNA from 1 species
UACGUAGGUGGCAAGCGUUGUCCGGAUUUACUGGGCGUAAAGAGCGCGCAGGCGGUCGUUCAAGUCGCGUGUGAAAGCCCCCGGCUCAACUGGGGAGGGUCACGCGAUACUGAUCGACUCGAAGGCAGGAGAGGGUAGUGGAAUUCCCGGUGUAGUGGUGAAAUGCGUAGAUAUCAGGAGGAACACCGGUGGCGAAGGCGGGGUCUCUGGGCAACAACUGACGCUGAGGAGCGAAAGCGUGGGGAGCGAACAGG